GUUAGGGUGGCAGAGCCCGGUAAUUGCAUAAAACUUAAACCUUUACUCCCGGAGGUUCAAAUCCUCCUCCUAACA
rnacentral:tRNA from 1 species